UACGAAGGGGGCUAGCGUUGCUCGGAAUCACUGGGCGUAAAGGGUGCGUAGGCGGGUCUUUAAGUCAGGGGUGAAAUCCUGGAGCUCAACUCCAGAACUGCCUUUGAUACUGAGGAUCUUGAGUGUCGGAGAGGAUAGGGGAAUACCCGGUGUAGAGGUGAAAUUCGUAGAGAUCGGGUGGAACACCAGUGGCGAAGGCGCCUAUCUGGCUGACAACUGACGCUGAGACUCGAAAGCAUGGGGAGCAAACAGG
rnacentral:rRNA from 1 species